rnacentral:ncRNA from 1 species
UCAUCACAACGGCUUCCUGGCGUGGUGGGCUAACUUUAAUGGAGCA